AACAUUCACAUACAACCCUAAUCCACCAUGUGAGCCUCCUCUUAGUUUGGAGGAUGUAGAAGCCUGUGACUCUUUAACCAACUACACUAAAAAAAAAAUUAGAUUUCAUUCAAAACACAUGUUGAUAUGAUCUGUAAUCCUAACCUUUGAUGGCCUUUUGGAGCAUAUGUCCUUCUUGUGGGUUGUACUUCCACAGAGACUGCAGUGUUGCACCUUCCCC
rnacentral:lncRNA from 1 species